AUUUUCCGGUUAGCCUUCGGGGUGUCCGCGUGAGAAUUGGCUAUAUCCUGGAGCGAGUGCUGGGAGGUGCUAGUCCGCCGCGCCUUAUUCGAGAGGUGUCAGGGCUGGGAGACUAGGAUGUCGGACACGUGGAGCUCUAUCCAGGCCCACAAGAAGCAGCUGGACUCUCUGCGGGAGAGGCUGCAGCGGAGGCGGAAGCAGGACUCGGGGCACUUGGGCUGGAAUUCAGUGGCGUGAACACAGCUUACUGCAGUCUCGACCUCAGGGCUCAAGUGAUCCUCCUGCCUCAGCCUCCUCCUGAGUGGCUAGCACCACAGGUGUACCCUACCAUGCCUGCCUACUUUUUAAUUUUUAUUUCUUUGUAGAAACAGGGCCUUGCCAUGUUGCCCAGGCUGGUCUUGGACUCUUGGGCUCAAGCUAUCCUCCCACCCUGGCCUCCCAAAGUGCUGGGAUUACAGAUGUAAUCCCAGUCUAGUUAAGACUCUUAUAAAAGUAUUUUUGGGGUUGUAAUUAAAUGUAUCUUGUCUUCUGACCGAGAGCUUGAUCUGACCCAUCAUUUG
rnacentral:lncRNA from 1 species